UACGUAGGGUGCAAGCGUUGUCCGGAAUUAUUGGGCGUAAAGAGCUUGUAGGCGGUUUGUCGCGUCUGCUGUGAAAUUUCGGGGCUCAACCCCGAACUUGCAGUGGGUACGGGCAGACUAGAGUGUGGUAGGGGCUACUGGAAUUCUCGGUGUAGCGGUGAAAUGCGUAGAUAUCGAGAGGAACACCUGCGGCGAAGGCGGGUAGCUGGGCCGACACUGACGCUGAGGCGCGAAAGCCAGGGGAGCGAACGGG
rnacentral:rRNA from 1 species